CGAGCGAUUUUAGUUACGCUCUUCAUACGGAUAACUGCUUUCGGAACAUAUAUGAUCUAUCUCGAACGUAGGAAACAUUAUCUCUAUUUAUAUUUAUAUUUUCAAUAAUAUUGAU
rnacentral:misc_RNA from 1 species